GAGAGAGAGGAAAAAAAAAAAAGAAAACCCACGAACAACCGCUCGCUCUGCGGCUUCUCCCCACGCCGAGCGCCGACGCUUCCCUCCCCUUCUGUCGACGCGUGAUCUCCUCCCCCACCACGAGCCACUUCCCUCGAUCCCUCCCGUCGACCGCGCGCCGCCUCCGCCUCGGCGAGAACCCAGCCACGGGCAUGCAGGGAGGGAAUCGCUCCUCCUCGCCGACCGUCUCCCAUGCCUCCUUCCAUCGCCUAUGCGCCUCACCGGUCUCUGCCCUCCCCUUCGCCGUUGCAGCACCUCGCCGGCCUCCACCCCCGGUUGAAAUCCCGUUUUUUUUUUUGUUUUCCAUCGGUUACCUGCAAAUUUGAGCCUACAUUGUUUUAUUGAAACGUGGUCUGUGGAUUUGGUUGUUUCAGCCAACGUGGUUUAUGGAUUUUCAAGUGAUCUGUGGAUUUAGUGAGUUGCAUUGUAAUAUGGUAUUGUAGAUCAUGUAUUUUAGGACUGACUUUUACAUUAAACAUGCCCCAUGGUCCAUGGAUCUGUGCAUCGUAAUAUGGCCUUUACUUAUCUGAAAAUUGCUUGUGAAUUUUGCUUCUUUAUAUUCAUCAGAAUUUUACUUAUCUGAAAACUACUUGUGAAUUUUACUUUAUUAUUUACUAAUAAUAGCUUAUUUGUAUCCUGAAUCAUUUGAAUAGCUUUUAGAUAUAAGGGAAGAAAAAUGGAGGAGCUGUUGGCCUGUGCUUGGCUAACAAAAUUGGUGGAGAGGUAUCAUGUAACCAAAUCAAGCACAUAAUCCCUUUUCCCUUUUAACAUUUAUAGUUUCUAAUAUAAAGUGUUCUAAUUGGGGUGAGACUGUUGACUGGCUUACCAUCUUGGCCCCUCUUAGUACAAGAGAAUAUAUCACAUCGAAGUUUUCCUUCUGGACUUCAUGAAGGAAUUAAUUUUUCACAAGUAUCUUUGGCCUAAUCACUAAUCAUCACACUUUGUGCGAAGAAGUCGAGCAUUUCUUUGUCGGUCAUCUCACAAGUAUCGUUGGCAUGGAUGUCAUGCUGGCCUACCCCCUGAAUGGUUUGACCUUUGGAUUGCAUCUUAGGCUUUUGCAUGGUCUUCGACUGUCCAUGCACCGCUGCCAACCUUGAUCCACAUCAAGCCUCCGCCUCCAAAGCUACAGGAGAAGAUGGUUGCAUCAAACUCCUGCCUUCUUUCUCUUCAAGUAACAUCUUAUCUGUGUUUUGAUGGAAUUUUGGAACAUGCAUGGAUAAUUUUGGUCCGUGUUUUGAUGAUUUCUCUAAUUUCUAAGUAUUGACCAUCCAGAGAAAAUUCAGGUCUUCUGUUACUCAUAGUAAAUAUCAUGAUGAUAAUAAUAGUUUACUCCUAAUGGUUCUCUUUGUUCCGCUAGAAAGAAGUGGACGAUUGUUUGAGGAAGUAGGGGAGAGAGUGAAGCAUGUGAUUUUUCAGGCAAGUUUGUCAAAGCCAUUUGAAUGAGAGGCUCAGGAUAGCUGGUGGUAAAGCACAGAACAGCAUUGGCGCUGCUAAGGAGGCUGAUCUCCGGGCAACCUAAUGUUCAUUCAUUUGCGACAUCAGAUUUGGGCUGCAACUAUUGUUGCUCUCUAUGCAGCCUGGACUCCUCGAAAUCUUCGACCAGCAUAACUUAGGUCGCGUCCCAUGAAGCACGACAAAGUAUUUCGUAGGGAUGCAAGCGGAGUGGGCAAGUCGGCUUUUUUAUCCCGCUUGUGCCACUUCUAGUUUAUUUUUUCUUCUAAAUUUUAUACUAUCAUGUGAAAAAUAGACUAGCAAGCGGGUUUUUAUGUGGGUAGCGGGACUACCCACUUGCAUCCCUAGUAUUUCGACCCAUUCGACUCGAGUUGUUGGUGACCCUGACACUACUACACAAAAAAUUCUCUGUACGAUGACCCUUAUAAGUUGUAGAUGAACUAUAAUUGAUCGCA